rnacentral:rRNA from 1 species
AUUGGGCGUAAAGCGCGUGUAGGCGGUUUCUUAAGUCUGAUGUGAAAGCCCCGGGCUCAACCUGGGAAGUGCAUUGGAAACUGGGGGACUUGAGUACGGGAGAGGGUAGUGGAAUUCCUAGUGUAGGAGUGAAAUCCGUAGAUAUUAGGAGGAACACCGGUGGCGAAGGCGGCUACCUGGACCGAUACUGACGCUGAGACGCGAAAGCGUGGGGAGCAAACAGGAUUAGAUACCCCAGUA